rnacentral:rRNA from 1 species
UACGAAGGGGGCUAGCGUUGUUCGGAAUUACUGGGCGUAAAGCGCGCGUAGGCGGUGAUCUUUGUCAGAGGUGAAAUCCCGAGGCUCGACUUCGGAAUUGCCUUUGAAACGGGAUCGCUUGAGUCCGAGAGAGGAUGGCGGAAUUCCUAAUGUAGAGGUGAAAUUCGUAGAUAUUAGGAAGAACACCGGUGGCGAAGGCGGCCAUCUGGCUCGGUACUGACGCUCAGGCGCGAAAGCGUGGGGAGCAAACAGG